GUUUAUAAAUCUCUUUUAUUUAGUCUACUAUAUUUUAAAUAUCUUUAUUUUUUUUUAUAUGUAUAUUUUUAAAUAUUUUUUUAAAUAUAUUUUUAUAUUUUAUUUUUCAGUAUAUUUUAAGUUCUUUUCUGUGUGUAUUUCUUUUGCAAUCAAUUUGAUGUACACAGCUCGGAAUGAUUGCACUGAUGAUUAUUAUUUUGCAAUAAAAGAAACCUAACAGCAUGAUUUGUAACAAAACAAUGUUACAAACCACAACCCUGAACCAUCUUGUAAAGAAAAUACAAAACUACUACAAAAAUCAAAGCUUUGCAUUGUUCUCAUGAAUGUAUGGCUGACUCAAAGCUGAUUGGAGAGAUGUACAUUUUUCUAGUGUAAAGUCAUGCCAUCGGAGCCAUUUAAUUGUGGACUCUGGCUGGCACACACAGAAUCACAGUGCCACUCUCACAGCCUCCUGCUGAAGAGCUAUUACUUUGGCUGUGUUUGUAAACCUGCGUUUGGCUUCUCAGUGUACACUACGAGGAUUACGACUCGUUUACGGUGACUUUUUACAGUAUAAACAGGGAAGAAGAUCAACAGGAUUCUCAAUGGAGUUUCUACAGCUCUGUGUCUCUUGCUGAGCAACUCUUGAGGCUCUUUUAAGAAUUUUAACAGACAGUUUUCUGCAAAUAAGUUUCUAUUGUCAGGAAUAAAUGAUCACCUCAACUAGACGAGUGUCUGCAGAUAAACCUGAAGUACAAAUCGCUUUCAGCCUUGACGAAACCUCAGAGUUGAAAGAUGCAGAGGAUCCCCUUCCAUCAUUCCCUGACCUUGAGCAACGCCUGCAGUUCUAAGCGCCAUCGACUUGAAGCAUUCGUCGGUAAAAUACAGGUUUGUAUAUAUCUUAUUUUAUCUAUAAAAUCGUUACUGUGCUGUAUAUCGUUCAAUUUCAUGCAGAGCAACAUGGCGCGCGGUAUGAAUCAUCUUUA
ensembl:lncRNA